UCUGGUAGGGGAUUUGGAUUACCUGAAUCAACAAGGCAGAUCAGGGAGUUACCUGACAAAGGAAACUGGAAGCUAUAAAAGAAAGGGUCUCUUACUAACCGUUAGAGAGAGAGAGAGAGAGAGCGAGAGCGAGCGAGCGAGCGCGCGCGCGCUCCUGACCCAGACUCCAGGACAUGGAGAGAAGCCAUCUGCAGGAGGGCAACAGGAGAGGAAGGGUUCUGGAUUCCUUAAAAGACUCUGACCUAAGCCUAAAGAGCGUUCAAGAGUGGUGAGGAAACUGAGGCAGGGAAAUAUGCACAGGAAAUUUCAACUGGGUCUGGAAUCCUUGGAUUGCCUCUGCAAUGGAAAGUGCUGAGAAUCUUGCAAUAAUGACUCAAGAGCAACUUGCCGAAUUAAGGAUGGGACACUCUCUUUUAAAAUUAAGUUUGGUGACAUGCUUUUGGACUCAUUCUGGUUGACAGUGGCAUACACAGCAUUCUCAGACUAUGCUAUUUGUAUCUCUAUUUUGUUGUCACUUUCAACAAUGUACCUGUGCAAGUUAAGUUUUUUUUUUCAAGCCCAACUUGCAUCCAAAACAAACAAGGAGAGCAUCUGAGAUCAGUGGAACAAGAGCUCUGAGUUGCACUGUUGACACUUCCUGCCAGGAUUAAACAACUCUGCAUAUCAAAGAGAGUUCAAAUUUCUAUUAAAAGUAAGUUUUGUUAUAAUUAUUUUAGCCUGGGUCAGGGGCAUGCUGCACAAAUCUGUUAUUGAAGUAAGUGUUGGAAAAGAUUGGGAAAUGCAUGUUGCUCCUGCAGUAACUCUGAUUUGGUUACAUUUUAAACCUGCUUUGCACAGGUGUAAAGGAUUUAGCAUGGUGCAAGGUAGUGGAGAAUCUGUCCCUCAUUAACUGUCCCACAGCUGGGAAUUUGAAGAGAGUACAAAAAAAGGAUGAGUAUUCAGAGGAAGGGACUGAUCCUGAGGGCUCCCUUGAGAGCUGGACUAGUGGGGCAACGUGAGGAAGCUCAUGUUGCUGCAGUUCUGUGGCUAAACAGAGGAGUUCAGUUUUAAGUGCAAUCAAUCUGGCACUUUUCCUAAGAGUUAAAUUCACUUUAAAGAAAAAUAAGCCAACAAUGGAAAAGAAACAUGAACCUUCUAAUGGACUCUACUAUGAGGCAGUACUCUCUGGGAGUGAAUCCUGAAUAGCUGGCCCAGUUGCUAAAGGCUCUGAGUGAUGACUGAUUAGACAUCUCUGGCUAUUUCUGACCCCCAUCCUUAGUGUGUGGAAUGGUUAGAUAUCUGCUUUCAGUAUUUCCAUCAUUUUGAAAUCUGACGUCUCUCUUUUUAAAGCGGGGGAGGGAGCUUAAGAAGUCUUGCUGUUACAAUGCCUGGGGGAGCCAUAUAACAGAAUGGAAAGCAGGAAAGGAAAUAUAUUUCCCACCAACUUGGCUUUGGCUGGGGGUUAGCCAUUUUGCAGGAAGAAAUGUUUUAAAAUGUUAAUGUCAUGGGGUUAUAUUUAUUUCCAACCUUCCUGCAAAAUACAGAGCUUUUUCUCUAAAGUGUACACAAAUAAAAAGUUUGUCAAUGAUUUUCUUAAA